rfam:Strongylocentrotus purpuratus Contig36074_fixed, whole genome shotgun sequence.
GGAGUGUUGGUUCAGUAAGUAGAGCGUCCGCCUCACAACCGGGAGGUCGUGGGUUCGAACCCCGGCCGCGUCA